rnacentral:misc_RNA from 1 species
GUAGGAGCCGGCUUGCUGGCGAUGAACGAUAACGCGGUAGACCUGAUGCACCGCGUCGUCUGGAUCGCCAGCAAGCCGGCUCCUAC